CCCUUAGAUGUCCCGGGCUGCACGCGCGCUACACUGAAGGAAUCAGCGUGCUAAAACCAUUGUCGAAAGGCAUUGGUAAACCCAUUAAAAUCCUACGUGAUUGGGAUCGGGAAUUGCAAUUAUUUCCCUUGAACGAGGAAUUCCCAGUAAGUGUGGGUCAUAAGCUCGCGUUGAUUACGUCCCUGCCCUUUGUACACACCGCCCGUCGCUGCCCGGGACUGAGCCGUUUCGAGAAAAGCGGGGACUGCUGCUGUCGGGGCUUUCGGGCCUUGGCUUCGGUGGAAACCGCUUUAAUCGCAGUGGCUUGAACCGGGCAAAAGUCGUAACA
rnacentral:rRNA from 1 species